GGCGGCUGCACAAGAUGGCGGCUGGCCGCGAGCAGGGUGGGACGUGCUGUGCCGCGUGCCAGCGGGGCUGCGGAAGCUUCCAGAGCCACGUGUAAGGUAAAGCUAGCAGAGGUAAUGAUGGAGGAUGUCACAGCAUCCCAGAUGCAAGCUGCAGGGAUUCAUCGCUUUGUACAAAAUAGCAAAGGAGUCCUGCAUAAACAGCAUGGAAAAUGCCUUCAGUCUUGCCUGGGAGUUUAUUUAAAGCACUUGCAGAUGGCUAGAAGCAGGUGCUCCAGCUGCUUUUAGUAUGGUGCUCUCCUGGAAGUGGAACAGAUUGUACUUUGUUGUGAGCCCCAAGUUCCCACAAGGUAUGUGUCACCUUUUGAGUAUGAAUAGAAUCUGGAUGGGUAGGACCUUUGCAUUUUCUAGAAACCUUAUUAUUUUUGCCUAUACAAACCACUGAACUAUUCCUUGGAAAGAAGAAAAAGUAUACUUUCCACUCUUACCUGCCUCUUUCACCUUUCUCUCAAAGUGAAGAAAUGAAUUCAGUUCCUAAAGACAAGGAUCCUCUCUCCUUAUUGUACUUAACAGCAAAUUUCAGUCAUUAAAAUCUGGCUGCAUGGUAUAAAAAAAAAUAAAAAAGUAAAAAAAAAUUUAGAACAAAAUGAGGCUAUAAGAAGGCUUUCAGCAGAACCUCUACAUCAUUUAAAACUUGCCAGAUUUUUUUUCUUCCGUUCUUUAUUUCCCCUCCCACCUUUCUGUAUGUAUAUUUCUCCAGGUGAACAUACCUUCCUCGUGUCUUUAUGUUCCUUUAUUAUGCUUUCCCUAGUAUUAUUUUAGGUAAGGGCUCUCUGAAAGGGCAAAAGCUUGCUGAGCGGCCCAUGGUUUUCAUAUGAAGCAGGUAAGUAGAAGUGUUCUUUUCCUUUGCUCCUUGGGCAGUCACAAGUGGAAAACCUGGAAUGUGCUGCUGAAGGAGAAGGAAACAGUGAGAGGGCAAGUGAUAUCGGCUCCUCAACCUUUAGAAAGAAACAGUUGUUGCUUCCAGAAGCAUCCUGCUUUUCUCUUAGGGUUCUCAAGUUUCAAAAAAAAACCCAAAAAUACAGGUACACUAUCGCUUGAGGAGUUGCAAAUGAGGAAUAAAGUGGAGUGAUAGAAGGAAAUCUUACUAGGAAAAUUUUGUUAGCAAGUCACUCAUUAAACUGUGGCUCCACACACUUCCAUUUCAAGAGUUUCUCAUUAUAUGCGUUACAUACUGUCUUGUUCAGACAGUGCUACAUAUAAUGUUGUGUGCCUUUAAUCUUUAAAAUGAAGUUAUUUCCCCAUGAAGAUCCCAGGAAUCUCCUUAAGGUUACAAUUUGAAAACGUAUUUCCAGCUUCUGAGUUGGAAACUUUAUCUAGGUAGCAUUUUUGUUUAAAUGCUUUAAAUGGUUUAAAAAAAAAAAUAAUAGUUAUACAUAUGUAUACUUGAGUAGUCAUGUUUGAGCUGAUGCUUGUGCUUUCACUGGUUUGUUAGUUCAGAAUGGUAUCUGCCCAACUUGACUGUAUUUGUACUAUGUGAGAACAUACUGAAAUAUGACAUAUGAUACUAUGUCUGGAGGUGUUUGCUAUGUUGAAGUCCUUUGUUUAUAUAGCACUAAAGAAGUGUAAUGUACCAGAAAAAGUUCUAUUUCUAAUAUUGCUUUACUUCUCAGUACCCGCUAAGGAGAAUUCAGUGGUCUCUUAUUCAUGCUGAUUUCUUUGCUUUCUGUUAUGCAAAUAAAUUUUGUAAUUGUUGAAGUUUUCCUUCUCAUUCUGGAAAUAAUCAUUUCCAGAAUUGUUCAGGGAACUCUCCUGAAGAAGAGAACGGCAGGUGCCUAAGAAAUGCAGGAUUUUGCAGGGAAAGAAACAAAACAAGAACUUAGCCCAGAGCCUUUAGGACAGCAUCCAGUCUGUUAAUCCAGUCUGAUUCAAGUUGCUUUGACUCUGUGGCUAUUUUUCCUUCCUUUCUACCCAGAUAGCAUGUAAACCUGUUUGAGGAUGGGACUGCUAUGAAUUACUUUGUAAGAUACAAUGUCCAGUAUGUGUUCAUGAUGCAGAUACUCUACGUUAUACACAUUUGUGGCCAUGUAACGUAAAACUUUUCAGUAUGAGCACUAAAUAAUCCCCUGGAAUGCUACAAUAGUGAACUGUUUUGCCAUAUUCUCUUUUAUUCUGUAACUUCAGUCAGCCAUUAACCUUAUUUUCUUCUUAAAGGGAAGCUUAAUGUGUUCAGACAUGCAGCUCCGUGACUAUUACAAGACUAGAGUUCACCUGCUGACUCCAGCAUCCGCACAUUGUAAAGCAUGUGAGUUCCUUUCAUUGUCUAAACUGUUUUGUAUGAGGUCUCUCUCUUCUACAUGCUAGUUCGGCAAGCUUCUAAGGCAUCUGUGAGAAGUAAUGAUGCAAAAGCUACCUGAUUCAACACUGAGAAAUAUCUAAGUAAUAUUCAGCAGUAUUUGUAGUGGAAAAAUUACAGGUGAAAAAAGCAUUCUGUGUAAAGUAACUGCUGAGCUACUAUAGUGUGUGGUGUUGUAAGUGGAACAUGUUCAAUGGUGUAUUCAACUCAGAAGGUGUCACUAUGAACUUAAAAUACACCAAGGAUUCAUUCUCUUAACAGUAGAUUAAAUUGGUCAAGUGAGCAAAUGUGAGUACAUAUGUAUAGAAAGGAUAGAAGUGGAAGUAAAACAGUGUCAAAAGUUACCAUCUGUAAACAUACAAUAGGUGUAGCUGAUAUUUUUGUAUUGAAAUAAAGGGUUAAUUUUGAAGUCCAAAAUGGUAGCUUACAACUCUCUCUAAGGCCAUUCUCAGGAGUCAAGUACAUGAUGCUCAAGAGGAAGAUAUUUGUAAAGGACUUCAAUUUGAAAAUCUGGUAUAGCCAGCUGAUGUUUUUACCAUCUUAUUGGAAGUCUGUGCUGUUUUCAGGAAGUACACAGUAAAGUCACAAAAAAAACACCCAAAAAACCAACAUAGAAAUUCUGUCUGGAUUUCUCCUUGGAUUAGGAUGAAACGGUAGGUAACAGUUUUUAUGUAUGCAAUACUCAGUGAAGUAGUAGAAAGAAUUUAGAUGGUUAGUAGAAUGCAAAGACCACUCUUUGCAUCAUCUUUCUCUUAUCUCUUAAGAGUAGAAUUCUGAGCAUUUUUAGUCAUUUUCAGGCUUUCCCCUCAGCUGUGUUCACAGUCUGAGUUUAUUAGAAGGAAUACUGGGCCCUGACUUUUGUAAAACAUUGCAAAGCAAGGCCAGCCAAUUCAGUUCAAAGAUGCAUUACUUACAAAAAAAAGUAAAUCAGACAGAAACUUACUUAAAUCUUUUCUAGUCAGGAUACAGCUGUAGCCAUUGUGUGGUGGCAUGUAAUAUGUGCUUUACUGGUCUUUGGAAAGAAAGACUAGAAAGAAAGAGUAGCUGUAGAUACUUGUUCAGGGCAAUAGUUAAGUAAGUGCCCAGUCUUUUGCAUUUUUUUCACUGGUAUCAAAAACAGAAGAACAUCUUUCUUUGAUACACCCAAACAGAUCCCCAACAACCAAGCCCCCAGUAACUAACUAUUUGGUCCCUGGUUUGUAGCAUGAUAAAUAAGAUUACAUGCGAGAGGCAGAAAAAAAGCAGUGUCCUGCCCAAAACUAUUUGAGCUGUAACAUGUGAGACUUGUGAAAUAACCACUGUGUUGGACUUCCCCCUGUACUUUAAAUGAAUUCCUGCUGUGAAGUUUUGCUGUCAGCCACGUGUUGGGAGAAUUUUGAUUUCACUUACUUGUUUUUAUACUUCAGCAGCAUGCACUGCUUUGAUUGUUUUGUGGGUUAGUUGAUAACAAAUGCAGGAGUAGUUUGCGGAAUUCAGUUUUAAAACUGGGCUGGGAUAAAAAUUCUUGGAAUUACAUCUUGACAUUUGGACCAAGAUCGCAUAUACAGUUUUUGUCUUUUUGUGACUUUAAUGUCAGGUACUAACCUGUAAACAUCACAAUGUGUAGUUGUCUUGCUUAGGAGGCUUGCUGUAUGCCUCAGAACCAGAUACAAGAUCUUAGCAGGACUCCGCUUGAAGAACAGUUAAACAAAAACUAUGAGUAAGGCACUAGUCAAUGCAGCAAACAACAAUUACAGUCUGUAUUCCUUAAGAAUAAAGCUAUUCUCUUUAGGAAAUUGCUUGUAAUAUGACAGAGUUACCAAUGCCAGCUAGAAGGGGAAUAGAGAAAGUGCAUCUUUCGGAUUAUGUCUCUGAGGUCUGUGAGACACUACUGAAUGGACAUUCCUGUAGGUUUGGAGAUUGUGCAGUGGUGAUAUUCAGAAGAGCUGAAGCAAGAGGUAACUGGCCUAGACAGAUCUCUGCUAACUUAAUGUGAAAUAGAUUUGUUAAAGAAUUAUCUACGUUGGCAGAAGGAGCUGAAGCCACAGUUGAGGCUGCUGUGGCAAAUCUAGUUAAGCAGGAACAACGCUAGUCAGAAACAAAUAAUUGGCUGCAACAGCUAUAAAAAGAGUAAUGUUUGUAUGAUUUUUUUUUGUCUGUUUGUUUUCUCCUUAAUUUCUUACUUUCUGAAGUCCGAGGAUGCACUUUGUCUUCUGGCUAAUGUAACAGACCAAAGCCUUCUGUGCUGCUUUGGAGCUGCUGUCAUUCCAAACAGCUAUUAACCACCAACCUGUGCUUUAUACCAAAUGAAACUUGAGCCUGCCAGUCUGGCUGUGGGAUGGCUGACACUAUUUUGCAUUAGAGUUGCUCAGAGAAAACCAGACCCCUUCCAUCAUAAAAACAGAAUAUACUACUACAUUUGGUGGGGGUCAUUGAAGCAUCAGAAUUUGUUCAUCAAGUCAGUAAGAAUGUAUUUGUAAACAGAUGGACCCAGUUAAUGCUCAGGAUUGUAUUUCCCUAGGAUCUGUCCGAUGAAACUACUACAUUUGAAUCAUUCAUUUGGUAUACUGAAUAAAAGGUCAGUGGUAACUCAGUUGUCUCAUCACUAAAUGCUAAAUCAGAAGAGACAGAUUUGACAAAUGUCUCUUUCACUGAGAUUGUUCAUUACAUGUACAAAACGCCAUUUCAAAAACUUAAGACAUUGUUAGUGUACAUAAUGUGAGGGAGAAAAUACUACAUGAAUUUUUCUUGAAUAUUAUUGCCAUCAGGUGCUACAGCUACCAGCUCUGGACAGUGGGGAGAAGGGGUUCUGUGUAGGUUUUUUUUUCCCUUUUUCUGAAGACUCAGUAUUAAAUUUAUCUUGAGCUUUAAGAUUACCCAUCCAUGGGGACUUAAUCUCUCAGAAAAUUUACAAGUAUUGCAACCUGCUUUUUAAAAUGUUUUUGAUUUUUUUUUUUUUUUUCCCCUUUGACUCAGAAGACAAAAUUCAUUGGUGAUAUAACUUAGCUGAGUGGUAAGAGUUUCACCAGAGAUGAAUCUGGACUAAUCUUUAUUUAAUAAUAAUAGAAAAAACACUGUUAAUUAAGUGCUGGGGAUCUCUACCAUGCCUGCUAUACAUAUGCUGAAGUUAUAUACAGAAGAAGGAAAUACGAAAGUUUUUCUUCGCAAAGACUUUUCCUUCAAAGCAACUCAGCCUUGAGUUGCUUUAUGAUGCUUGUGCUGUUCCCCGCGUCUGCUUGGUUGAUAACGAGGCCUGCUCCAGCGUUCUGCGUAAAAGCAUUUCCUACCCAAUCAAAAUUACCUACGAGUAAAGGCAGGAAUACACAACAAUUCUUACCACCUUUGUCAAAGUCUAAGGUAAUGCUACAGAGUAUCACAGAUCUUGGUGAUAGCAGAGAGGAUAGCUGCAUUCAUGGAAAACAGGUAAUCCAACUAUUUCACUAGAACCCAUAAAUCCUUAAGAUCUACAUUUAGAUCAGAUGGAGUAUUUUGGAGAGAAAUGCAGUUAUUAGAGGCCAUAUUUUAAAAAAGUCUGUCUAAAGAUGCACAUGCAAAGUUCUGAGGUGUCUGAGAAACUUACAUCCUUUCUUGGGAGUUAUUUUAGCUGCUUCAAUAAGAAAUGUUAAGAAUUCUGAAAUUGUCAAGAAUGGAAAAUUGACACCUCAUUGUGAGGAAUCGUUCUUCCAGUGCUUUCAAGGAAAGGAUAUAUCAGGUCAUUAACAUUACUGUGGCACAGAUUUAGUUGUAUAUUUCUUUGUCUGUAAAUCUGUGUGUGUUUGUGUGUGUAUAUGUGUGUGUGUAUCUGUAGCAAUGAAAAUACAGAUAUGGAAAAGACUAAAAGAAAACUAAAUCCCACCAAAAGGCUUAGAACCCAUGCUACAAGGCACUGAAAUUUUACUUGGGUAUUGGAAAGAAUUUAAAAUGGAGUAGAAAAGAUGAAUAGGAAGCUCAUACAAUGUUUGGGAGGGGAGAAGAGGGUAAGCUCAGCUAUUUGAAGUGAAAAGUAAGAAUUGGAUAGAUUGAGAAGGCUGUGUGUGCACAUUGUGUGCAUCAGUGCAUACCCUUCAGAAAUCUUGUUACUUAAUUUUUAAUUCAGUAGCUGUUUUUGGUCCUGCAGCUGAAGCACAUCUCUAUCAGUUUUAUUAUUUUGUUAAAGAUAGUUUUUUAUCAUGCAUAUAGUGAGCAUUUGAUAGUGAAAUUUUCUAGGUGCCAUGCAGAGACUUAGUAUUUAAGUGUACCUUCAACCCAAAAUACCAAUUAGACAUAUAUCUAAUGAUGAAAAGAAAGAGAAUGUCUGAGAUGUCAGUAUAGUUAAAUGGAAUGAGGUGUCAGAAGGGGAGGAUGACAGCUGGGUGUAGAGUAUUUAGUAGAAUUGACUAUCAGUUUAGUAAUCAUGUAUCAUAGUGUAUUUUAAUGGCCUACAGGAAAGCUAGGGAAGAACUUUUUAUAAGGGCAGGUAGCAACAGGACAAGGGGAAAUGAUUUAAAACUGA